rnacentral:rRNA from 1 species
CAGUCGCCGCGGGAAUACGAAGGGUGCAAGCGUUAAUCGGAAUUACUGGGCGUAAAGCGCGCGUAGGUGGUUCAUUAAGUUGGAUGUGAAAGCCCUGGGCUCAACCUGGGAACUGCAUCCAAAACUGGCAAGCUAGAGUAUGGUAGAGGGUGGUGGAAUUUCCUGUGUAGCGGUGAAAUGCGUAGAUAUAGGAAGGAACACCAGUGGCGAAGGCGACCACCUGGACUGAUACUGACACUGAGGUGCGAAAGCGUGGGGAGCAAACAGGAUUAGAUACCCGUGUAGUCCCUGUCUCUUAUAA